GAUGAACGCUGGCGGCGUGCUUAACACAUGCAAGUCGAGCGAAAGGACGCGACGCUUGCUUCUCGGAUGUUAGAGGCGGGAGUGAGAGUAACAAGUGGACCCCCUCCUUGUAAGUCUGGGAUAACUACGGGAAAUCGGAGCUAAUACGGGAUAAGAUUUUAAACCGCGUGGCUUAAAAGUGAAAGACGGUGUUGCGGGCACUUCUAGAUGGAUCCGCGCUGCAUUAGAUAGUUGGUAAGGUAACGGCUUACCAAGGGAACGAUGCAUAGCCGACCUGAGAGGGUGAUCGGCCACACUGGAACUGAGACACGGUCCAGACUCCUACGGGAGGCAGCAGUAGGGAAUCUUGCGCAAUGGGCGAAAGCCUGACGCAGCAACGCCGCGUGAGUGAUGAAGGCCUUCGGGUCGUAAAAUGCUGUUGUUAGGGAAGAACAGAUUUGGGAUUAUACGUGGAGAUAAUGACGGUACCGAAUCAAAAAGCACCGGCUAACUACGUG
rnacentral:rRNA from 1 species